AUAAGACUGUGGGUGCUUGGAGCAAAGCAACUGGGAUCUGGAGCACACAAGCACAGAACACAGAACAGAAACUAAACAUAAUACAGAGCCAAGAGACGAAGCACAGGACCUGGUCUCUGCUUGUCAGCAAGGUAUACCCUGACCAUCAUACAUAAGGCAAAGAAAGGACUGCUGACACAGAUGAAGAUAGAACAUCUGUAUCAUAAGCUGUUACACUGAAGAAGUUUUACAGCUAGCCUGAGAGAAAGAAAACAUAAAUCAAGAGAUGAGAGGGAAAGUAAGAAGAUACAAUAACUUUUACCACCAAGACAUGUUUAUUAAAAAAUAGGAACUCACAGAGUUCUUAAAUAAAUCCAAGCCCUCAAGUUCUAGCAACACCACUAAACAUGUAAACACUAUGCGCAGUUUCUUGGAAACUAGGAGUACCUGACACUAAAGGCACUGGAUUGGUUAGAGAAGGUGUGCAGGUGACAUCUAAUUCCCAGGAGUGAGUCUGGUGGUGGGCCACCAGACAGAUGGUUCAACCCUGAGAAGAGAUGUAGGCUGAAACAUGGGGAUAGAGGAGGAACAAGGCAGUAAGCAGCAGAGGGACCGAUGCACUAAGAGGGUAGGCCAUAUGGGAACUUUCAUAUGAAGGUUAUAAAUAAACUGACCGAUUCUAUGUUAAUAUCAAAAUUAAAGCCAUAUAUAUUCAGUAAAUAACUAUAAUAUAGAUUAACACUGGGCAGUUCCACAAUUCUAUUCUUAAGCAAUUUUACAAUAAGUACAAAUAAGAUCCUAAGUAUUUGCAAGAGGAGAAAAUUUUAAAUAAAUG